rnacentral:lncRNA from 1 species
UUAUGAGUGCAAAGGAAGGUUAAGUUGGCUUGACGGAGCAUCCAUUCGAUACCUUGGAGUAAGCCUAAUUGUUGUAAACAAGGUAAAUCGGGGUACCUGGUGGAAACGACGCCUCGCUGUUGGAAACGCUCGAAUUGCUCCCUCUGAUAAUUGUCAUCUACGGAUCGGAAGAUGAUAUUUCCGAAAUUCUGAUUUCCCGCCAUUGUGAUGAAUUUUGAAGGGGUGAUUUGGAAAGAAAAAGAAAUGUAUUUGAUAGGAGAGAAUUGUUUUGUGGUGAAUGAAGGAAGGUUUGGUGGGUAUUUAUAGGAGAAGAAUUUGGAAGGUGGAAAGAAAAAGUGGUUGAAAAGUAAUUAAGUGUGGUUAAAUGAAAAAUGAAUGGGGAAGGUAAAAAGUUAAAGGUGUAACGUUCGUCUCCAACGGCUCCUUAACGUUCACUAGUCUGAGGAGUGUU